ACUUAAAUUGAAGAGUUUGAUCAUGGCUCAGAUUGAACGCUGGCGGCAGGCCUAACACAUGCAAGUCGAGCGGUAGCACAGAGAGCUUGCUCUCGGGUGACGAGCGGCGGACGGGUGAGUAAUGUCUGGGAAACUGCCUGAUGGAGGGGGAUAACUACUGGAAACGGUAGCUAAUACCGCAUAACGUCGCAAGACCAAAGUGGGGGACCUUCGGGCCUCAUGCCAUCAGAUGUGCCCAGAUGGGAUUAGCUAGUAGGUGGGGUAACGGCUCACCUAGGCGACGAUCCCUAGCUGGUCUGAGAGGAUGACCAGCCACACUGGAACUGAGACACGGUCCAGACUCCUACGGGAGGCAGCAGUGGGGAAUAUUGCACAAUGGGCGCAAGCCUGAUGCAGCCAUGCCGCGUGUGUGAAGAAGGCCUUCGGGUUGUAAAGCACUUUCAGCGGGGAGGAAGGCGAUAAGGUUAAUAACCUUGUCGAUUGACGUUACCCGCAGAAGAAGCACCGGCUAACUCCGUGCCAGCAGCCGCGGUAAUACGGAGGGUGCAAGCGUUAAUCGGAAUUACUGGGCGUAAAGCGCACGCAGGCGGUCUGUCAAGUCGGAUGUGAAAUCCCCGGGCUCAACCUGGGAACUGCAUUCGAAACUGGCAGGCUAGAGUCUUGUAGAGGGGGGUAGAAUUCCAGGUGUAGCGGUGAAAUGCGUAGAGAUCUGGAGGAAUACCGGUGGCGAAGGCGGCCCCCUGGACAAAGACUGACGCUCAGGUGCGAAAGCGUGGGGAGCAAACAGGAUUAGAUACCCUGGUAGUCCACGCCGUAAACGAUGUCGAUUUGGAGGUUGUGCCCUUGAGGCGUGGCUUCCGGAGCUAACGCGUUAAAUCGACCGCCUGGGGAGUACGGCCGCAAGGUUAAAACUCAAAUGAAUUGACGGGGGCCCGCACAAGCGGUGGAGCAUGUGGUUUAAUUCGAUGCAACGCGAAGAACCUUACCUGGUCUUGACAUCCACAGAACUUUCCAGAGAUGGAUUGGUGCCUUCGGGAACUGUGAGACAGGUGCUGCAUGGCUGUCGUCAGCUCGUGUUGUGAAAUGUUGGGUUAAGUCCCGCAACGAGCGCAACCCUUAUCCUUUGUUGCCAGCGGUUAGGCCGGGAACUCAAAGGAGACUGCCAGUGAUAAACUGGAGGAAGGUGGGGAUGACGUCAAGUCAUCAUGGCCCUUACGACCAGGGCUACACACGUGCUACAAUGGCAUAUACAAAGAGAAGCGACCUCGCGAGAGCAAGCGGACCUCAUAAAGUAUGUCGUAGUCCGGAUUGGAGUCUGCAACUCGACUCCAUGAAGUCGGAAUCGCUAGUAAUCGUAGAUCAGAAUGCUACGGUGAAUACGUUCCCGGGCCUUGUACACACCGCCCGUCACACCAUGGGAGUGGGUUGCAAAAGAAGUAGGUAGCUUAACCUUCGGGAGGGCGCUUACCACUUUGUGAUUCAUGACUGGGGUGAAGUCGUAACAAGGUAACCGUAGGGGAACCUGCGGUUGGAUCACCUCCUUACCUUAAAGAA
rnacentral:rRNA from 3 species